rnacentral:rRNA from 1 species
UAUGGAGAGUUUGAUCCUGGCUCAGAACUAACGCUGGCGGCGUGUCUUAGUCAUGCAAGUCGAACGAGAAAGCGUUCUUCGGAACGUGAGUACAGUGGCGGACGGGUGAGUAACACGUGGGGAACCUGCCCUCAAGCUGGGAACAACCCGCCUAACGGCGGGCUAAUACCGAAUGUGGUUGUCAGUCCGCAUGGUAUGACAACUAAAGGUGGCCUCUCCUUGGAAGCUACCGCUUGUGGAUGGCCCCGCGCUCAAUUAGCUAGUUGGUAGGGUAACGGCCUACCAAGGCGACGAUUGAUAGCCGACCUGAGAGGGUGAUCGGCCACACUGGGAUUGAGAUAAGGCCCAGUCUCCUACGGGAGCCAGCAGUCUAGAAAUUUGGGCAAUGGGCGAAAGCCUGACCCAGCGACGCCGCGUGGGGGAUGAAGCUUCUCGGAGUGUAAACCCCUGUUAGGUGGGACGAAAGCCCGUAUACGAAUAGUAGGCGGGUUUGACGGUACCACCAGAGGAAGCUCCGGCUAACUCCGUGCCAGCAGCCGCGGUAAUACGGAGGGAGCGAGCGUUGUUCGGAAUUACUGGGCGUAAAGGGCGCGUAGGCGGCCUCGUAAGUCGGGUGUGAAAUGCCGGGGCUCAACCCCGUGCACUGCACCCGAUACUGCAUGGCUAGAGAAAGGUAGAGGCGAGCGGAAUUCCCGGUGUAGCGGUGGAAUGCGUAGAUAUCGGGAAGAACAUCUGCGGCGAAGGCGGCUCGCUGGGCCUUUUCUGACGCUGAAGCGCGAAAGCGUGGGGAGCAAACAGGAUUAGAUACCCUGGUAGUCCACGCCGUA